CAACAAGGUUAGGAUGUGAAAGCCUUCCUAGAAAGUUCACUUCCGACUGCAUUUUUAAUUGACACAGAUUAUGAGCAUCAUUUAAAGAAUCUAACUGGAAAGCAUAGAUCAGAAGAACUGGUGACAGAUAGGUUACUCGUUAAGCAAAAAGAAAAUGGAAAAUUUCAGAUGAAUAGACAGUUAAGACAAUUUAAAGAAUCUAACUGGAAAGCGUAGACCAGAAGAACUGGUGACAGAUAGGUUACUCGUUAAGCAAAAAGAAAAUGGAAAAUUUCAGAUGAAUAGACAGUUAAGACGCAUUUCACUGUGUCGACAACAU
rnacentral:lncRNA from 1 species